CAUCUAAACACUGUAAAGAUCUCUAAGAUUUGAUGUUGGCAGACUUACAAUCCCCCAGUGGCACUGCCAGCACCCUUCCUGAGGUCAGUCAGGCUCCAACUGGGGACACGGGUGUGCCCUGGGAGGACGGGUCCUCCUCCCAAGGAUCCUGUGUGGGCAAGGCAAGAGUCCUCCCUAGCAUUCAGUGAAUACACAUUGUUAGGUCCAGGCUCUGUAUUGAAGUCUAUAAAGCACAUAUAAAAAUAACUCACAUUGACCAAAGUGCUGUACAAAAAAAUCAUCGACAACUGAAACUCUGUGAAUGAAAACAUGAGCUCUGGUGCUUUAUUAUUAUUAUUAUUAUUUAUUUUAAAUAGUACAGUAACCACACCAUAAUCCUUUGUCACUCACGGAGAAGGUACCAGACCAGUUGUUGUGUUAGGGGCAGGGCUGCUGCUGGGAAUAUAGGUGCCCUUUCUUUGUGGUGCCCAGUUCCACCUCAACAGACACACACACACACACACACACACACACACACACAC